AAUUUAGUGUCACUUGAUUGAUCUCAAAAUGUACCUUGUUUAGUGCAUCAAAUUUACCUUUUCAUUCUAGGGUUUCAUUCUCACUCUCCUCUUUAACUUGCUAGUACUACUUCAGCAGGGUUUCAAUGCAUUCUAUCAAUUUCUAUAUAUAUAGUUCUUAUCUGCAUACUAAUUGUGUGUAUAUGUAUAUAUAUGCUAUAAUAGCUUUUUGGGCUUUGGCCCUUUAAUCUUUGUCUUGCUGUAAGUUAUUGCUAUCAGUCUCACUUUUGAGCUCUGGAAGUGUUUGCAUUAUGUAUAUGCUAAAUAAUAAUAAUAAUAAUAAUAAUAAUAAUAAUAAUAAUAAUAAUAAUAAUAAACCCCUAAAUUGGGCCCCUUUGUGCCCAAAGUUUCAAUUCAAACCCAAUCAAUGCAUACAAUAUGUUUGUUUUCUAGAUUAAUUACAAGUUUUUAUUGCUUUACAGUUAGUUUCUGAUGGUCCAGUUUUGAAUUGUUUAGGUCAAUAUGCUUCCUGAUUCAAUUGUCAUUCAUCCAUUUCUUGUUUGCUCACAUACUUAAUUUCUUGUAGGUCCUUGGUGGCUUCUUGAAUUUAUAGGGCUUUGAAAGUCUUUUCAGGAUUUGUAAUUGGCUACCGGAUGACUUGAAGGAAGAAUAUCUGCAUACUGUGAAAGUAGUGGAGAAGGCGGUGUUGAGAGUUGUAAUUUUCCCUUGUCUUUUCAUUCUGUUCAUUUGAAAUCAUCUGUGCCACGACAGACAUGAAGAUGUGAAUAAGAUAUAUGUGCUUAUUGCUAAACUUUAGUGAGAUGAUGCUAGUGAUGCCCUUUCUUCUGUUAGCUUUAUAUUAUUGCUUAGUUAGUCUUUCUUGUACAAUGUAUGACAACAACAAAAAAAAAAAAAAAAUGGAAGAUCAUUUUCAUAUUUUUAAUUA